GAAUCAAAGCAGGGGUGCUCCGUCCGAAAAAUCGGACGAUGCUGAGAGUGAACACAGUUCACAACCCUUUCGCCUGAUCCGGAUAAUACCGGCGGAGGUAGCAUUUUAUCAAGAUUU
rnacentral:ncRNA from 1 species